CUAGCGACAGGCCUAACACAUGCAAGUCGAGGGGCAGCACAAGGAGCAAUCUGAGGUGGCGACCGGCGCACGGGUGAGUAACACGUAUGCAACCUGCCUGUAAGCGGGGAAUAACCCGUUGAAAGACGGACUAAUACCGCAUAAUACUAAAUUACUGCAUGGUAAUUUAUUUAAACAUUUAUGGCUUACAGAUGGGCAUGCGCAUGAUUAGCUAGUUGGAGAGGUAACGGCUCCCCAAGGCAACGAUCAUUAGGGGUUCUGAGAGGAAGGUCCCCCACACUGGUACUGAGACACGGACCAGACUCCUACGGGAGGCAGCAGUGAGGAAUAUUGGUCAAUGGACGAGAGUCUGAACCAGCCAAGUCGCGUGCAGGAAGAAUGUCCCUAUGGAUUGUAAACUGCUUUUGCAGGGGAAUAAAGUGCAUCACGUGUGAUGUUUUGUAUGUACUCUGCGAAUAAGGAUCGGCUAACUCCGUGCCAGCCGCCGC
rnacentral:rRNA from 1 species